AAGCCUGAUGCAGCAACGCCGCGUGCGGGAUGACGGCCUUCGGGUUGUAAACCGCUUUCAAUUGUGACGAAGCGAGAGUGACGGUAGCAGUAGAAGAAGCACCGGCUAACUACGUGCCAGCAGCCGCGGUGAUACGUAGGGUGCGAGCGUUGUCCGGAUUUAUUGGGCGUAAAGGGCUCGUAGGUGGUUUGUUGCGUCGGAAGUGAAAACUCAGGGCUUAACUUUGAGCUUGCUUUCGAUACGGGCAGACUUGAGGAAGGUAGGGGAGAAUGGAAUUCCUGGUGGAGCGGUGGAAUGUUUAGAUAUCAGGAGGAACACCGGUGGCGAAGGCGGUUCUCUGGGCCUUUCCUGACGCUGAGGAGCGAAAGCGUGGGUAGCAAACAGGCUUAGAUACCCUGGUAGUCCACGCUGUAAACGGUGGGUACUAGGUGUGGGUCGCAUUCCACGUGGUCCGUGCCGUAGCUAACGCAUUAAGUACCCCGCCUGGGGAGUACGGCCGCAAGGCUAAAACUCAAAGGAAUUGACGGGUCCCCGCACAAGCGGCGGAGCAUGCGGAUUAAUUCGAUGCAACGCGAAGAACCUUACCUGGGUUUGACAUAUGCCGGAAGCAUUCAGAGAUGGGUGUGCCUUUUUGGUCGGUUUACAGGUGGUGCAUGGCUGUCGUCAGCUCGUGUCGUGAGAUGUUGGGUUAAGUCCCGCAACGAGCGCAACCCUUGUCCUAUGUUGCCAGCAUGUUGUGGUGGGGACUCAUAGGAGACUGCCGGGGUCAACUCGGAGGAAGGUGGGGAUGAGGUCAAGUCAUCAUGCCCCUUAUGUCCAGGGCUUCACGCAUGCUACAAUGGCUGGUACAGUGGGUGGCGAGCCUGUGAGGGUUAGCGAAUCCCUAAAAGCCAGUCUCAGUUCGGAUUGGGGUCUGCAACUCGACCUCAUGAAGUCGGAGUCGCUAGUAAUCGCAGAUCAGCAACGCUGCGGUGAAUACGUUCCCGGGGAUUGUACACACCGCCCGUCAAGUCAUGAAAGUCGGUAACACCCGAAGCCGGUGGCCUAACC
rnacentral:rRNA from 1 species